GAUGAACGCUAGCGGCAGGCUUAAUACAUGCAAGUCGAGGGACAGCACAGGUAGCAAUACUGGGUGGUAGCCGGCAAACGGGUGCGGAACACGUACACAACCUUCCUUUAAGUGGGGAUAGCCCAGAGAAAUUUGGAUUAAUACCCCGUAAUAUAGUUGAAUGGCAUCAUUUGAUUAUUAUAGCUACGGCGCUUAAUGAUGGGUGUGCGGCUGAUUAGAUAGUUGGCGGGGUAACGGCACACCAAGUCUACGAUCAGUAGCUGAUGUGAGAGCAUGAUCAGCCACACGGGCACUGAGACACGGGCCCGACUCCUACGGGAGGCAGCAGUAAGGAAUAUUGGUCAAUGGACGCAAGUCUGAACCAGCCAUGCCGCGUGAAGGAUUAAGGUCCUCUGGAUUGUAAACUUCUUUUAUUUGGGACGAAAAAGGGCCUUUCUAGGUCAACUGACGGUACCAGAUGAAUAAGCACCGGCUAACUCCGUGCCAGCAGCCGCGGUAAUAC
rnacentral:rRNA from 1 species